rnacentral:rRNA from 1 species
UACGAAGGGGGCUAGCGUUGCUCGGAAUCACUGGGCGUAAAGCGCACGUAGGCGGCUUUUUAAGUCAGGGGUGAAAUCCUGGAGCUCAACUCCAGAACUGCCUUUGAUACUGAGAAGCUUGAGUCCGGGAGAGGUGAGUGGAACUGCGAGUGUAGAGGUGAAAUUCGUAGAUAUUCGCAAGAACACCAGUGGCGAUGGCGGCUCACUGGCCCGGUACUGACGCUGAGGUGCGAAAGCGUGGGGAGCAAACAGG